GGGAGUGUAGCUCAGUGGUAAAAUGCAUGCCUAGUAUGCAUGAGAACUUGGGUUUGAUCCCCAGCACUACAA
rnacentral:tRNA from 1 species